UUAAGAUUUUUUUAGGAUAUGAUUUAAGAUUUAGGAUUUUUUUAAGGUUUAGUUUAAGGUUUAGUAUUUGUUUAGGAUUUGAUUUAGGUUUUAGGACUUAGAAUUUGUUUAGGAUUUAAUUUAAGGUUUAGGAUUUAUUUAGGAUUUGAUUUAGGAUUUAAGGUUUAUUUUGGAUUUGAUUUAGGAUUUAGUUUAAGAUUUAGUAUUUUUCUAAGAUUUGAUUUAUGAUUUAAGAUUUUUUUAGGAUUUAAUUUAAUAUUUAGUAUUUGUCUAAGAUUUGAUCUAAGAUUUAGGAUUUUUCUAGGAUUUAAUUUAUGGUUUGAUUUAAGAUUUAAGAUUUGACCUACAAUUUGAUUGAAGUCCAUUAGAUUUUCAAUUAGGAUUAAAUUAAGACUUAAUUAAAAUUUAUUUAAAAUAUAUUUGUGAUUAUUCUAAUAUUUCUUUAGAAUUUCUUAAGGAUUCUUUUAAGAUUUAUUAUGGAUUUCUUUUGAAUUCCUUUAAGAUUUCUUAUUUUUUCUUUUGUAAUUUUUUUAAGGUUUCUUUUGAAUUUGAUUGAAGCUUGCUUAGCAUUAUUAAUGGUUUAAUUAAAUUUAUUUAAUAUUCUAUUAGAAUUAAGAUUUUGUUGUUG
rnacentral:lncRNA from 1 species